rnacentral:rRNA from 1 species
AGAGUUUGAUCCUGGCUCAGGAUGAACGCUAGCUACAGGCUUAACACAUGCAAGUCGAGGGGCAGCAUGGUCUUAGCUUGCUAAGGCCGAUGGCGACCGGCGCACGGGUGAGUAACACGUAUCCAACCUGCCGUCUACUCUUGGACAGCCUUCUGAAAGGAAGAUUAAUACAAGAUGGCAUCAUGAGUCCGCAUGUUCACAUGAUUAAAGGUAUUCCGGUAGACGAUGGGGAUGCGUUCCAUUAGAUAGUAGGCGGGGUAACGGCCCACCUAGUCUUCGAUGGAUAGGGGUUCUGAGAGGAAGGUCCCCCACAUUGGAACUGAGACACGGUCCAAACUCCUACGGGAGGCAGCAGUGAGGAAUAUUGGUCAAUGGGCGAGAGCCUGAACCAGCCAAGUAGCGUGAAGGAUGACUGCCCUAUGGGUUGUAAACUUCUUUUAUAAAGGAAUAAAGUCGGGUAUGCAUACCCGUUUGCAUGUACUUUAUGAAUAAGGAUCGGCUAACUCCGUGCCAGCAGCCGCGGUAAUACGGAGGAUCCGAGCGUUAUCCGGAUUUAUUGGGUUUAAAGGGAGCGUAGAUGGAUGUUUAAGUCAGUUGUGAAAGUUUGCGGCUCAACCGUAAAAUUGCAGUUGAUACUGGAUAUCUUGAGUGCAGUUGAGGCAGGCGGAAUUCGUGGUGUAGCGGUGAAAUGCUUAGAUAUCACGAAGAACUCCGAUUGCGAAGGCAGCCUGCUAAGCUGCAACUGACAUUGAGGCCCGAAAGUGUGGGUAUCAAACAGGAUUAGAUACCCUGGUAGUCCACACGGUAAACGAUGAAUACUCGCUGUUUGCGAUAUACAGCAAGCGGCCAAGCGAAAGCGUUAAGUAUUACACCUGGGGAGUACGCCGGCAACGGUGAAACUCAAAGGAAUUGACGGGGGCCCGCACAAGCGGAGGAACAUGUGGUUUAAUUCGAUGAUACGCGAGGAACCUUACCCGGGCUUAAAUUGCAGAUGAAUUACGGUGAAAGCCGUAAGCCGCAAGGCAUCUGUGAAGGUGCUGCAUGGUUGUCGUCAGCUCGUGCCGUGAGGUGUCGGCUUAAGUGCCAUAACGAGCGCAACCCUUGUUGUCAGUUACUAACAGGUUCUGCUGAGGACUCUGACAAGACUGCCAUCGUAAGAUGUGAGGAAGGUGGGGAUGACGUCAAAUCAGCACGGCCCUUACGUCCGGGGCUACACACGUGUUACAAUGGGGGGUACAGAGGGCCGCUACCACGCGAGUGGAUGCCAAUCCCCAAAACCUCUCUCAGUUCGGACUGGAGUCUGCAACCCGACUCCACGAAGCUGGAUUCGCUAGUAAUCGCGCAUCAGCCACGGCGCGGUGAAUACGUUCCCGGGCCCUGUACACACCGCCCGUCAAGCCAUGGGAGCCGGGGGUACCUGAAGUGCGUAACCGCGAGGAGCGCCCUAGGGUAAAACUGGUGACUGGGGCUAAAGUCGUAACAAGGUA